ensembl:lncRNA
GCAUUAAUCUUUCUGUGGAGUUUUCCCUUCCGUUGUUGUUUAUUGAUAAUUAAACAUGGCUUCAUUUGCAAAGGUGGUUGUGUGUGUCCUGAUCGCUUGUGUCUGUAAUGCAUUCUGUUUUCCGAAGAGAGAUGUGAACUUUAAGGCCUCUGCAGUUGACCGCCAAAGUGAUGAUGUGGUUGUCACCACAACACCCGUUCCCCACAACCAGACCACAUCUGCCCAUACUGAAGCUGGCGGUGCAAGUGAAGAUGCUGUCGCUACUACCCCAGCACCUAAUCCACACAACCAGACAACUUCUGCACAAACUGAAGUUACUGAUGGAGCCAGUGAAGAUGCUGUGGACCGCCAAAGUGAUGAUGUGGUUGUGGCCACAACACCCGAUCCCCACAACCAGACCACAUCUGCCCAUACUGAAGCUGGUGGUGCAAGUGAAGAUGCUGUGGCUACUUCCCCAGCACCUAAUCCACACAACCAGACAACUUCUGCACAAACUGAAGUUACAG